CAAUAGCGUAUAUUAAAGUUGUUGCAGUUAAAAAGCUCGUAGUUGGAUUUGUGGCGUACGGUGUGUUCCGGGCACUUGUUGUCUGAGUAACCUGCUGUUGCCAUCCUUGGGUGGAACCUGUGUGGCAUUAGGUUGUCGUGCGGGGGAUGCCCAUCAUUUACUGUGAAAAAAUUAGAGUGUUCAAAGCAGGCUUAUGCCGUUGAAUAUAUUAGCAUGGAAUAAUGAGAUAGGACUUUUUUGCUAUUUUGUUGGUUUGCGCAAGAAGGUAAUGAUUAAUAGGGACAGUUGGGGGUAUUCGUAUUCCAUUGUCAGAGGUGAAAUUCUUGGAUUUUUGGAAGACGAACUACUGCGAAAGCAUUUACCAAGGAUGUUUUCAUUAA
rnacentral:rRNA from 1 species